GAUGAACGCUGGCGGCGUGCCUAACACAUGCAAGUCGAACGGCAGGACCGUAAGCUUGUGCUCUUACUGGUGGCGGGUGGCGUGCGUGUGACGCGUGUAUCUUCCUCUUCUUUUUCGGGGAGAAUCACGUAAAUAGGGUUACGCUAAUACAGCAUAUGAUGUACCGGUGGGAGCAAGGGAUAUUCGCGGCUUUCGCGAUUGGAUUAGCCGGUGUCGGACUAGCUGGUUGGGUGGGUAAGGGCCCACCAAGGCGACGAUACGUAGCUGGUCUGAGAGGAUGAUCAGCCACACUGGAACUGAGACACGGUCCAGACUCCUACGGGAGGCAGCAGUAGGGAAUAGUGGGCAAUGGGCGCAAGCCUGACGCAGCAACGCCGCGUGGGUGAUGAAGGCCUUCGGAUCGUAAAGCCCUGUUGUUGGGGAAGAACAGCUGUAGGUUAAAACGUGGCGGUCUUGACGGUACCUAAUGAAUAAGCACCGGCUAACUACGUG
rnacentral:rRNA from 1 species